GAUGAACGCUGGCGGCGUGCUUAACACAUGCAAGUCGAACGGAAAGGCCAGUGCUUGCACUGGUACUCGAGUGGCGAACGGGUGAGUAACACGUGGGUGAUCUGCCCUGUACUUCGGGAUAAGCUUGGGAAACUGGGUCUAAUACCGGAUAGGACAACUUUUUGGAUAUUGUUGUGGAAAGCUUUUGCGGUAUGGGAUGAGCUCGCGGCCUAUCAGCUUGUUGGUGGGGUAAUGGCCUACCAAGGCGUCGACGGGUAGCCGGCCUGAGAGGGUGUACGGCCACAUUGGGAAUGAGAUACGGCCCAGACUCCUACGGGAGGCAGCAGUGGGGAAUAUUGCACAAUGGGCGCAAGCCUGAUGCAGCGACGCCGCGUGGGGGAUGAAGGCCUUCGGGUUGUAAACUCCUUUCGCUAGGGACGAAGCUUUUUUGUGACGGUACCUGGAGAAGAAGCACCGGCUAACUACGUG
rnacentral:rRNA from 1 species